CAUAAUUGUGUUUACACUUGCAGUGCAAGACAAAGCAGAGAUACUGCGGGAUUUUGAAGAAGUGACCCAGGUCAAGGAUGAACUGACUCAGCAGGUUACAGAGCUGCAUGCCGCACUGGAACAAGAACGGUCAAAGGUGCGCUUGCUGCAGCAGGAUCUCAAGAAGGGUGGGAAAAAAGAACCUCGGUAACAUUUGGUCUGGCCCCCAUUUUCUUCCCGACUGCCUGCAAAGUGCAAAGGCUGCACUGCAAAUGCAAGCGCAAGAAGGCACUUGGGUAACGGGGCCUUGUCUGCUGAGAAACAUUGCAACUACUGCCAUUGCACACCUUCUAGUGUCUAGCAAGCGCUUCGUCUUCUCAUGUACAUACUACAGGCGGACCGUGUGAUGCUUCUUCUUUUUUUUCUUUUUUCUUUUUUUACAUGAGGACAUGUGAUGUGUUUGACCAUUACUUCAGGGAUCAAAUGAAGUGUUCAUGCCAGUUAAUUUAAUUUGGAGGUGAUGUAGAACAUUGUUGAUUAAAGUCACAUUCUUUGUUACCUUA
rnacentral:lncRNA from 1 species